rnacentral:rRNA from 1 species
GACGAACGCUGGCGGCGUGCUUAACACAUGCAAGUCGAACGGAAAGGCCCUGCUUUUGUGGGGUGCUCGAGUGGCGAACGGGUGAGUAACACGUGAGUAACCUGCCCUUGACUUUGGGAUAACUUCAGGCAACUGGGGCUAAUACCGGAUAGGAGCUCCUGCUGCAUGGUGGGGGUUGGAAAGUUUCGGCGGUUGGGGAUGGACUCGCGGGUUAUUAGCUUGUUGGGGGGGUAGUGGCUUACCCAGGGUUUGACGGAUAGCCGGCAUGAGAGGGGGACCGGCCACAUGGGGACUGAGAUACGGCGCAGUCUCCUACGGUAGGCAGCAGUGGAGAAUAUUGCACAGUGGGCGGACGCCUGAUGCAGCGACGCCGCGUGCGGGAUGACGGCCUUCGGGUUGUAAACCGCUUUCGCCUGAGACGAAGCUUGUGUGACGGUAAUGGGUAAAGAAGCACCGGCUAACUACGUG